rnacentral:rRNA from 1 species
CACUCAUUCAAAGAGUGCGUAAUAGCUCACUGGUCGAGUGAUCCUGCGCCGAAGAUUUCCGGGGCUAAAACUUACUACCGAAGCUACGGCAUCAGUAAUGAUGGGUAGGGGAGCUUCCCAUACGGGUUGAAGCAUGACCGUAAGGACAUGUGGACAGUAUGGGAGUGAGAAUGUUGGCAUGAGUAGCGAGAUGUGGGUGAGAAUCCCACAGGCCGUAAACCCAAGGUUUCCAGGGGAAGGUUCGUCCGCCCUGGGUUAGUCGGGACCUAAGCUGAGGCCGAAAGGCGUAGGUGAUGGACAACAGGUUGAUAUUCCUGUACUACCGAUAACCGUUUGAGAGAAGGGAUGACACAGUAGGAUAAGCUAAGCACACUGUUGGUUAUGUGUGCCCAAGCAUUGAGGCAGUCAAAGUAGGCAAAUCCGCUUUGAUAAUGCUGGGAUGUGAUUGGGAGCGAAAUUUAGUAGCGAAGUAGCUGAUUUCACACUGUCAAGAAAAGUCUCUAUCGAGGUUAAAGGUACCCGUACCGCAAACCGACACAGGUGGGUGAGGAGAGUAUCCUAAGGCCAGCGAGAGAACUGUUGUUAAGGAACUCGGCAAAAUGACCCCGUAACUUAGGGAUAAGGGGUGCCACCAUCAGGUGGCCGCAGAGAAUAGGCCCAAGCGACUGUUUACCAAAAACAUAGGUUUCUGCUAAGUCGCAAGACGAUGUAUAGGAGCUGACGCCUGCCCGGUGCUGGAAGGUUAAGGGGAUCUGUUAGAGCAAUCGAAGCAGUGAACUUAAGCCCCAGUAAACGGCGGCCGUAACUAUAACGGUCCUAAGGUAGCGAAAUUCCUUGUCGGGUAAGUUCCGACCCGCACGAAAGGCGUAACGAUUUGGGCACUGUCUCAACAACUGACUCGGUGUAAUUGUAAUUCCGGUGAAGAUGCCGUAUACCUGCGUCAGUACGGAAAGACCCCAUGGAGCUUUACUGUAGCUUGACAUUGGGUCUUGGUACUACAUGUACAGGAUAGGUGGGAGGCUUUGAAACCAGGACGCCAGUUUUGGCGGAGCCAUCCUUGGGAUACCACCCUUGUAGUACUGGGACUCUAACCAUAG